rnacentral:piRNA from 1 species
UGUCUACUAAUUCUACAUGAACAGGGUC